UCUCCAUCCACACUUUACACAAAAAUUCUUCUCCAUCCUCUCUACACCUCACGGCCAAGAACACUCACACCACCAUCAUUUUCAUCUUUCAUUUUCCAUUAAAUCUAUACAUACACAAGGAUGAUAGAAGCUAAGUUAGGAAGCUUGGAGCUUUCGGAUGUUGAAGGACCUUCACCGUUUGCUUUUAUCCACUUCAUUUCUUCACUUGAUCAUCGCUAACCUUGAGCUAGUAGUAGUCGUGUACACCAGUGGAAACUUUGAGUUACAGGCGGAUUCGAAGAACGCAAAACUGUCGUUAGGUAUCUAUGGAGCUUGCAUCGGAGUGGGAAGAGUCGUUGUGGGACAUGGAUAGCUGUGUGCCAUGCUAAACAUUUGAAACGCUUAAACUUGUGUUAUGGUUUUAAACAUUAUGCUUCUCCUUGCAACUUGAACUAUGAUUUGUUUGGA